rnacentral:rRNA from 1 species
UACGGGGGGGGCAAGCGUUGUUCGGAAUUACUGGGCGUAAAGGGCUCGUAGGUGGCCAACUAAGUCAGACGUGAAAUCCCUCGGCUUAACCGGGGAACUGCGUCUGAUACUGGAUGGCUUGAGUUCGGGAGAGGGAUGCGGAAUUCCAGGUGUAGCGGUGGAAUGCGUAGAGAUCCGGAAGAACACCGGUGGCGAAGGCGGCCUGCUGGGCAGUGGCUGACACUGAGGCGCGACAGCGUGGGGAGCAAACAGG